CCCUGACAGGCGCAAAUAGCGUCUGACUUAACCCACGACAGGAGAUAGACAUG
rnacentral:sRNA from 12 species